ACGCAGCGAAAUGCGAUAAGUAAUGUGAAUUGCAGAAUUCAGUGAAUCAUCGAAUCUUUGAACGCACAUUGCGCCCUCUGGUAUUCCGGAGGGCAUGCCUGUUCGAGCGUCAUUUCAACCCUCAAGCCUGGCUUGGUGUUGGGGCACUGCUUUCUAA
rnacentral:rRNA from 1 species